UGAAUUUUUUUUCUUCAUUUCAUUGGAUGUCUUGGUGGUUGGAAUCCUGCUUGCAUUUAUGCUAAACCUACUAAAAGAAUAAGUUUUUCAAUUAUCUUGUCAUGAUUACUAUCUAAAGCCGAAGCUAUCUAUUGUUUGAUGUACUUAACAGAAUCUCCAUUUGACAAAAUACUAAACUAUGAUGCUAUUCAAGGAGCAAACGUAGAUCCAACCACAUUUUAUAACAUAGGGGACCUUGAGAUUCAAGACAAUUUGGCACGAAUAUGGGUUGAUAUUGGGACUAAUGAUUCAUUGCUUUUGGAUGUCCUAUUGAAUGCAUUGACACAGAUAAGCUCUGAGUAAGAUCUUUAUUUAGCUGGUGUUUCCAUGCUUUCUUUUCCCCCUCAGUAUAUAGUGAAUUAUCUCAUUGUUUCCAACUCCUCAGUCCCUUUUUCUUAUGUUCUUAUAUUAAAGCAAUUAGAUUGAACUAUUAGCUGGUAAAAUAGAUGUUGUAGUUGUAACCAAGGGUUCUCACAGUAGAAGUGUUGUUUGACCAUAUGAGGGAAUAAUGGGUUGUACACCAUUUCUGGACUUGUAUGAAAAUUUCAAUGAAGCGA